GGAAGUAAAAGUCGUGACAAGGUUUCCGUAGGUGAACCUGCGGAAGGAUCAUUAUUGUAUAACCGAGGUGCGAGGGCUGUCGCGGACCCGAAAGGUCGUGCACGCCCGAGUGCCCUCACACACAUCCAUCUCACCCCUAUGUGCACCACCGCGUGGGUCCCCCUUUGGCUUGUUCGGAGGGGGGCUUACGUUUUCACACAAACUUUGUAUGCAGUGUAGAAUGUAUUUUUUGUUUUUGCGAUCACGCAAUCAAUACAACUUUCAACAACGGAUCUCUUGGCUCUC
rnacentral:misc_RNA from 1 species